rnacentral:lncRNA from 1 species
CUUCCUUCCUUUCAUCUCUCUGUUCUGUCUUACAUCAUCUCACUCCCUUCUCUCUCUCUCUCUCUGUCUCUCUCUCUCUCUCUCUCUCUCUUUGAAAUAUGCAAUACUUUAACAACUUACUGGUUUUGACUGUUAGGUUUCUAUUUACAUUUAGCAAUUACCAAUAUAUUUAGUGAAACAAAUAUAUGCUUUGGAUCAUAUAAAUAGAACCCUCGGUUAUUCUUGUAGCUUUCCUGUUACUAUUCAUGUGAUCUUGGACAAGUUUACGCAGUUUUUAUUUAACCUUUUUCCAGUUUGCCCUGAGAAUACUUGCCAGCAGUGCUCGUGGCUGCAGCAUUUACCCCAAGCAGAACUAUAUUUCUUUGGCCAGAAGACUUCCUUUAAACGUCUCCCUCUUUCACCUCCACUGGAGUGUAGUGGUAUAGCUACAGCUCACUGCAGCCUUGACUUCCUGGCCUCAAGCCUUCCUCUUACCUCAGCCUCUAGAGCAGGCUUAAAGACCCUCCAGACACCAUGACUUUCCUUUUAUCACUGAGGUCUUAACUUCAAUGCUACCUCAUCAGGCCCAUGCUCAUGAUCAUAUUUCGGUAAUUGGAACACAGCCAUUCCAAGGCUUUUAGCAGUUUCUUGUACAUUAAUCAUCUUGUUCCUGUGUUCUCUUUAGGAGAAGCGGAACACCACAUCAGCAGUCUGACCACCCUGAGACUUCCAUGCUAUGAGGAAAUCCAAAAUAGCCAUUUAAAAUGUGAAGACAGUAUAUUUUUUAAAGAAAGCAAUACUGGCUAACUGUCAGUUGUUUUGACAUCCAAGUCUAGACACUAGCUAUGAAUGUGAAGAAGCCAUUCUGGACAUUCCAGACCCAGCAGAUGCCACAUGGAACAGUACUGAGGUCCAAAACACAUGGUUUUCCACCAUAUCCUGACAAUUGAACUACCCUGGCUGAAGCCCAGACAUCAUGGCACAAAGACAAGCUGUCAUCACUGAACCCUGACAAAGUUCUUGACCCACAGAAUUGUAAGCCUAAUAAAAGUGGAUUUUUAAAAAAAU